AUGUUUUCCAGGCAUCGCCUUAGUGAUAAUUUAUCCUGUAAAUUCCAACUGCCUUCACACCUCACCCCUGCUGUCUCCCAGCAGACCCCACUCAGAUGCACAUGCCCCAGACCCCACACCCAGGUCUGUGCAUGCUGCCCUGCUCUGCCCAUGUGGGGACCACCUCUCUUUCUUGAGGAAUCAGCUGGCGAUCAUCUCCUUGUGGAGGGCUGCCCUGACUUCCAACUCUCUCCAGCAAAGGCAGAAGCCAUCCUCGGUACUUCCCCAAAACUCAGGCCAAGUAUGAAGAUGGCGCAGAUGAAGAAAUAAAACUGACGUGCGAUGACCUCUGAUAGGGCCUCCUUCACCAUCCACAUCUGUCUCCCCUCUGGACAGUAAAAUCCACAAGACACGGAGGGCUUGUCUCACUCAUCUUCAAACUCCCAGGGUCACCCUGGCAGGUAAAGGGGACUCAAAUGUCUUCUGAAGGAAGCAGCUGGUUAGCUGCCGAGUUAAAGGGCCUCUGAAAUUCAGAGCUCUGCAUAGGAGUCCAGCACACUUUAUUAUGAAUGACUCCAACCACGGCAGAAGUGGCCGUGGAACCAGUGCUAACCAAUUCAGGGUUUGUUCACUGUUUCUCAGUUCAUUAUCACAACUCAUUCUCACAGAGCAGCCGCGCACAGAUCCUCAGACAUCUACACAGAGUGGGACGAUGGCGCCAAGUCACGUGAACGUCCUGUUGCAGACUGGGAGACACCGGUCAGACACGGACCCAGGCAGAGCACAGACCUCGCGUUAAAUCGGCUCCAUGUAAACAGCACUCCCUGCCAGGCCCUUUCCUAUCUGCACAGCUUCUACAAAUUCAACUCUCGCACCUGACACCUAAGAAUACUGCACACCCCCAUGUGAACCCCCCAUUUACCUCCCAAAAUGACCCGGCAUGGCCGAGUACAAAACAUUUCAACAUAAGGGAACUGGAGGGCAUGUGGGGCUUUCUCGAGUCCCUGCUGCCUCCUGAUGGGAAGGCCCAAUGCUUCACACCCCUAGUGAAGGGCGGGUCUCUUCGGCCCCCAGGCUUUGGACCUGGAGCUUAAAUCAGCAUUAACUAAUUUCACUUUCCAGGACCAACUUCAAAGCCUGCAAAGCCAGAGAAGGGAGAGGAGAUGGAACACGCCCUCACCUCAGACUGCUGCAAGCAGCACUUCUCAGAUGCGUCCCAAGGUGCACAGCGUGUCCGAUGCCUGUUCACAUCACCGACCUGCAGGUCUUCUAUGUGGCAUCAGCCUCCUGGGCACUGGGAACAGAGGUAUAAUGGCAAGUCCCCUCUGCAGCAAAGCUGAGGCAAGGGACCCAACGAAUGAAACUGACCUUUUUCUGACAGUCUCAAAACAGAAGGAAAAUACUGUACAGCCAAC
rnacentral:lncRNA from 1 species